rnacentral:piRNA from 1 species
UACCAGUUUGCUAGGAGAGGCAUUAAUGUC